GAUUCGUAUAUGCCUGGCGUCCGCCACGACCGGCCUGCUGCACCGAGGCUUCUACGUCGAAGUAAGCUACUGAAAAGCGUAGACACACUUGUCAUAAUGAGGCCAGACAUUGCCAAGGAUCACCUCAUUACCCCCGACAACAAGCUGCGCUGGCUAACGGCUGCUAGUCUGGCAACUUUCCUCGUGCUCUGCAUCGCCAUCACUGCCUACUUCAUAUA
rnacentral:lncRNA from 1 species